UCGCAAGCGAAAUGCGGUGACACUGAAGUAGUUAGGCGGGUGAUGAGUGGUUCUAAGGAUGGAUCACAGCUGACGCGUAUAUAAAACAAGGCAAAGCUUGUUGUCCAAACACACAACGAAACCAGGAGUGGUAGAGUGGAUCUCACCAUUGCUGGCUACUUUAGAUGGAGAAUCCUGUUCGGAUACACUACCCAGAACAGAUCAGAGGCGGCGACGCUUCAACGUCAUCGCUGGACUAUUGCCGCACCCUCUAAUAUUCCCGUUUG